CUAACUAUAGUCUUAUUAGGUGAAAGACUGGAUUCUAUUUAUCUUUUUAUGUAGAGCCAACUCAAAAGCUUGCAAGACUCAAGCACCUUUUCUGUUCUCUCUCGGGCUUUGAAAAACUGUUCCCAUUAUCAAUUCAGUAUACCCUUAAGGCAAAUUUGUCCAACCCGUGACCGUUUGGCCCAGGAUGGCUUUGAAUGCAGCCCAACACAAACUCGUAAUUUUUCUUAAAGCAUUACGAGAGUUUUUUGCGACAUUUUUAAGCUCAUCAGCUAUCAUUAGUGUUAGUGUAUUUUACGUGCGGCCCAAGACAAUUCUUCUUCUUCCAGUGUGGCCAAAGGAAGCCAAAAGAUUGGAUACCCCUGCUUUAAGGUGGAGUCUUGCUCUGUCACCCAGGCUGGAGUGCAAGGGCGCGAUCUCAGCUCACUGCAAGCUCCGCCUCCCAGGUUCACGCCAUUCUCCUGCCUCAGCCACCCGAGUAGCUGGGACUACAGGGGCCCACCACCACGCCUGGCUAAUUUUUUUGUAUUUUUAGUAGAGACAGGGUUUCACCGUGUUAGCCAGGAUGGUCUCGAUAUCCUGACCUUGUGAUCCACCUUCCUCGGCCUCCCAAAGUGCUGGGAUUACAGGCGUGAGCCACUGAGCCCGGACAAUUUUCUCUUUUCUAAAGUUAAAUAAACAAGUUAGUUUAUUUUA
rnacentral:lncRNA from 1 species